rnacentral:rRNA from 1 species
GACGACGCUGGCGGCGUGGAUUAGGCAUGCAAAGUCGAACGGUAGGAUACCUUCGGGUAUCUGAGAGUGGCGAACGGGUGAGUAACACGUAGGUGAUCUACCCUCAAGAUUGGGACAACCCAGGGAAACUUGGGCUAAUACCGGAUGAAAGCAGCAGUGAUGUUGUUUGAAAGGUGGCGUAAGCUGCCGUUUGGGGAUGAGCCUGCGCUCUAUUAGUUAGUUGGCGGGGUAAAGGCCCACCAAGGCGAUGAUAGAUAGGCGGCCUUAACGGGUGGUCGCCCACACUGGGAUUGAGAUACGGCCCAGACUCCUACGGGAGGCAGCAGUCGAGAAUAGUCUACAAUGGCCGAAAGGCUGAUAGUGCGACGCCGCGUGAACGAAGAAGCCCUUCGGGGUGUAAAGUUCUUUUAUAUGUGAGCAGUGCUUUCUAUGUGAACAGCAUGGGGAGAGAGAUAUUAGCAUAUGAAUAAGCAACGGCUAACUCCGUG